GACGAACGCUGGCGGCGUGCCUAAUACAUGCAAGUAGAACGCAGUUGCGAACGGGUGAGUAACGCGUAGGAAACUGCCUCAUAGCGGGGGAUCACUAUUGGAAACGUUAGUUAAUACCGCAUAUGUUGAGAUGGACCUUCGUUGUAUUAGCUAGGUGGUGAGGUAAAGGCUCACCAAGGCGACGAUACAUAGCCGACCUUAGAGGGUGAUCGACCAAACUGGGACUGAGGAGAGGCCCAGACUCGUACGGGAGGCAGCAGUAGGGAAGUGUCGGAAAUGGACGGAAGUCUGACCGAGCAACGCCGCGUGAGUGAAGAAGGUUUUCGGAUCGUAAAGCUCUGUUGUUAGAGAAGCGGUAACUACACAGAAAGGGACGGCUAACUACGUGCCAGCAGCCGCGGUAAUUC
rnacentral:rRNA from 1 species